UACGUAGGCAGCGAGCGUUGUUCGGAGUUACUGGGCGUAAAGGGUGCGUAGGUGGUGAGGUAAGUCGGAUGUGAAAUCUCCGAGCUCAACUCGGAAAUGGCAUUGGAAACUACCUUGCUUGAGGGUUGGAGGGGGGACUGGAAUACUUGGUGUAGCAGUGAAAUGCGUAGAUAUCAAGUGGAACACCAGUGGCGAAGGCGAGUCCCUGGACAACUCCUGACACUGAGGCACGAAAGCUAGGGGAGCAAACAGG
rnacentral:rRNA from 1 species